rnacentral:tRNA from 1 species
GCACAGGUAUCCAAGUGGCCAAAGGACGCUGACUGUAAAUCAGCUCGGCAACGCCGUUCGGGGGUUCGAUUCCCUCCCUGUGCACAA